rnacentral:rRNA from 1 species
GACGAACGCUGGCGGCGUGCUUAACACAUGCAAGUCGAACGGAAAGGCCCUGCUUGCAGGGUACUCGAGUGGCGAACGGGUGAGUAACACGUGGGUGAUCUGCCCUGCACUUCGGGAUAAGCCUGGUCAACUGGGUCUAAUACCGGACAGGAGCCAUUUUUAGCGUGAUGGUUGGAAAGUUUUGUCGGUUUAGGCUGAGCUCGCGACCUAUCAGCUUGUUGGUGGGGUAAUGGCCUACCAAGGCGGCGGCGGGUAGCCGGCCUGAGUGGGUGGACGGCCACAUUGGGUCUGAGGUGCGGCACAGACACCGACGGGUGGGAGAAGUGGGGAAUCUUGCACAAUGGGCGCAGGCCUGAUGAAGCGAGGCCGCGGGGCGGAUGACGGUCUUAGGGUUGAAAACUCCAUUCGCAAGGGACGGAGCUUUUUGUGACGGUACCUAGAUAAGAAGCACCGGCUAACUACGUG